rnacentral:rRNA from 1 species
AUUGAACGCUGGCGGAAUGCUUUACACAUGCAAGUCGAACGGCAGCACGGACUUCGGUCUGGUGGCGAGUGGCGAACGGGUGAGUAAUGUAUCGGAACGUGCCCAGUCGUGGGGGAUAACGUAGUGAAAAUUACGCUAAUACCGCAUACGAUCUAUGGAUGAAAGCGGGGGAUCGCAAGACCUCGCGCGAUUGGAGCGGCCGAUAUCAGAUUAGGUAGUUGGUGGGGUAAAGGCCCACCAAGCCAACGAUCUGUAGCUGGUCUGAGUGGACGACCAGCCACACUGGAACUGAGACACGGUCCAGACUCCUACGGGAGGCAGCAGUGGGGAAUUUUGGACAAUGGGCGAAAGCCUGAUACAGCCAUUCCGCGUGCAGGAUGAAGGCCCUCGGGUUGUAAACUGCUUUUGUACAGAACGAAAAGGUUUCUACUAAUACUAGGAGCUCAUGACGGUACUGUAAGAAUAAGCACCGGCUAACUACGUGCCAGCCGCCGCAGUAA